GUCUGUAAGAAUUUUAUGAUUGAUCUUCUCCAAGCCUCCAGAAGCAGAUGGCAGCACUAAGGAACUGAGGAACAGAGAGCCACUCCUGCACUACGAGACAGCAAUUCUCUAUUUCCAUGGCCAUCCCACUAGGUCGUCAUCCUCUGUGAGUGAAGAUAAAAUGUCUGCAGAUCCCUGGAGAGACCCAUAUACAUAGGUCAGGGAAAGACCUAUAAAUCCAGAUGUUUAUUUCGGAUCUUGGAUCUAGCUAUCUGGGAGCUACUCUA